rnacentral:rRNA from 1 species
UAGGGAAUCUUCGGCAAUGGGACGAAAGUCUGACCGAGCAACGCCGCGUGAGUGAAGAAGGUUUUCGGAUCGUAAACUCUGUUGGUAGAGAAGAACGUUGGUGAGAGUGGAAAGCUCAUCAAGUGACGGUAACUACCCAGAAAGGGACGGCUAACUACGUACCAG